UACGAAGGGGGCUAGCGUUAGCGUCGGAAUCACUGGGCGUAAAGCGCACGUAGGCGGUUGUGUAAGACAGAUGUGAAAUCCCCGGGCUCAACCUGGGAACUGCAUUUGUGACUGCACGGCUCGAGUGCGGCAGAGGGGGAUGGAAUUCCGCGUGUAGCAGUGAAAUGCGUAGAUAUGCGGAGGAACACCGAUGGCGAAGGCAAUCCCCUGGGCCUGCACUGACGCUCAUGCACGAAAGCGUGGGGAGCAAACAGG
rnacentral:rRNA from 1 species